AGCAGCUAGGGAAAAAAAUGCAGUUUUCACAUCAUGAAGAUGAAAGAAUCAUUCUCAAUAUUAAAUAGCUAUAGUUGACAAGGCCAAAAGAAAGAUAGAGAAAGCAUUCAGUAUUAAAUUUCAUUAACUUAGUUAAAACUCAUUCAUACUUCUGUCAAAUGAUUUUCAAUAGAAAAAAGUAAUAAUAGGGCCUACUUAUGGAGAUAGUCAGACAGACCAAAGGAUUUGAAUCGAAAAAUUGACAAUACG
rnacentral:misc_RNA from 1 species